rnacentral:rRNA from 1 species
CGGCAUGCCUAACACAUGCAAGUCGAACGGAGUUGUUAUUCAGAAGUUCUUCGGAAUGGAAGGAUAAGAACUUAGUGGCGGACGGGUGAGUAACGCGUGGGUAACCUGCCCUUUUGUGGGGAACAACUUCGAGAAAUCGGAGCUAAUACCGCAUAAUAAUAGAGGAUCGCAUGAUUCUUUAAGGAAAGAUGGCCUCUGAAGAUGCUAUCGCAAAAGGAUGGACCCGCGUCUGAUUAGCUAGUUGGAAGGGUAACGGCCUACCAAGGCAACGAUCAGUAGCCGGCCUGAGAGGGUGAACGGCCACAUUGGGACUGAGACACGGCCCAAACUCCUACGGGAGGCAGCAGUGGGGAAUCUUCCGCAAUGGGCGAAAGCCUGACGGAGCAAUGCCGCGUGAGUGAAGAAGGCCUUCGGGUUGUAAAACUCUGUCCUUAUCGAAGAGAGGUAGGUAUGUGAAUAAUGUACCUAUAGGACGGUAGAUAAGGAGGAAGCCCCGGCUAACUACGUGCCAGCAGCCGCGGUAAUACGUAGGGGGCGAGCGUUGUCCGGAAUCACUGGGCGUAAAGGGCGCGUAGGCGGUUUAAUAAGUCAGUGGUGAAAACUGAGGGCUCAACCCUCAGCCUGCCACUGAUACUGUUAGACUUGAGUAUGGAAGAGGAGAAUGGAAUUCCUAGUGUAGCGGUGAAAUGCGUAGAUAUUAGGAGGAACACCAGUGGCGAGGGCGAUUCUCUGGGCCAAGACUGACGCUGAGGCGCGAAAGCGUGGGGAGCAAACAGGAUUAGAUACCCUGGUAGUCCACGCCGUAAACGAUGGAUACUAGGUGUUAGUAGUUUCGAUGCUACUAGUGCCGGAGUAAACACAAUAAGUAUCCCGCCUGGGGAGUACGGUCGCAAGACUGAAACUCAAAGGAAUUGACGGGGGCCCGCACAAGCGGUGGAGCAUGUGGUUUAAUUCGACGCAACGCGAAGAACCUUACCAAGACUUGACAUCCUCCUGACAAGAUAUGUAAUGUAUCUCUUUUCUUCGGAGACAGGAGAGACAGGUGGUGCAUGGUUGUCGUCAGCUCGUGUCGUGAGAUGUUGGGUUAAGUCCCGCAACGAGCGCAACCCUUAUUUCUAGUUGCCAGCAGUAAGAUGGGGACUCUAGAGAGACUGCCAGUGACAAACUGGAGGAAGGUGGGGAUGACGUCAAAUCAUCAUGCCCCUUAUGUCUUGGGCUACACACGUGCUACAAUGGUCAGAACAGAGGGAAGCGAAGCCGCGAGGUGGAGCAAAUCCCAGAAAACUGAUCUCAGUUCGGAUUGCAGGCUGCAACCCGCCUGCAUGAAGUCGGAAUCGCUAGUAAUCGAGGGUCAGCAUACCGCGGUGAAUACGUUCCCGGG